CUACUGGAGGCAGCAGUCGGUACUCAUGAGCAUUGAACGAAAGUCUGACGCAUCCGCGUCCGUCGCAUGGCACGACCGUCUUCGGAUUGUACAUCCACCGUCCGGAAGGGACGAAUAAGCCGCAAGACGGGUGACGGUACCUCCAUAGGAAGCACCGGCUAAGUCAGUGCCAGCAGCCGCGGUAAUACGGAGGGUGCGAGCGUUGUCCGGAAUCAUCGGGCCUAUAGAGCUCGUAGGCCGUUCGUCGCGUCUGCCGCGAAAGUCCGGGGCUUAACUCCGGAUCUGCGGUGGGUACGGGCAGACUAGAGUGCAGUAGGGGAGACUGCAAUUCCUGGUGUAGCGGUGAAAUGCGCAGAUAUCAGGAGGAACACCGAUGGCGAAGGCAGGUCUCUGGGCUGUAACUGACGGUGAGGAGUGAAAGCAUGGGGAGCGAACAGGAUUAGAUACCCUGGUAGUCCAUGCCGUAAACGAUGGGCACUAGGCGUCGGGGGGAGCGACCCUCCCGGCGCCGUCGCUAACGCAGUAAGUGCCCCGCCUGGGGAGUACGGCCGCAAGGCUGAAACUCAAAGGAAUUGACGGGGGCCCGCACAAGCGGUGGAGCUUGUGGUUUAAUUCGAAGCAACGCGAAGAACCUUACCUGGGCUUGACAUGCACGGGAAAGCCGGUGGAAACAUCGGUUCCUCUUCGGAGUCCGUGCACAGGUGCUGCAUGGCUGUCGUCAGCUCGUGUCGUGAGAUGUUGGGUUAAGUCCCGCAACGAGCGCAACCCUCGUCCCUAGUUACCAGCGGGUUAUGCCGGGGACUCAUGGGAGACUGCCGGGGUCAACUCGGAGGAAGGUGGGGACGACGUCAAAUCAUCAUGCCCCUUAUGUCUUGGGCUUCACGCAUGCUACAAUGGCCGGUACAAAGGGUUGCGAUACUGUGAGGUGGAGCUAAUCCCAAAAAGCCGGUCUCAGUUCGGAUUGAGGUCUGCAACUCGACCUCAUGAAGUUGGAGUCGCUAGUAAUCGCAGAUCAGCAACGCCGCGGUGAAUACGUUCCCGGG
rnacentral:rRNA from 1 species